UAGGGAAUCUUGCACAAUGGGCGAAAGCCUGAUGCAGCAACGCCGCGUGAGGGACGAAGGCUUUCUGAGUUGUAAACCUCUUUCAGCAGGGACGAUUAUGACGGUACCUGCAGAAGAAGCCCCGGCCAACUACGUGCCAGCAGCCGCGGUAAUACGUAGGGGGCAAGCGUUGUCCGGAUUUAUUGGGCGUAAAGAGCUCGUAGGCGGCUUGGCAAGUCGGGUGUGAAACCUCCAGGCUCAACCUGGAGCCGCCAUUCGAUACUGCCAUGGCUAGAGUUUGGUAGGGGACCACGGAACUCCUGGUGUAGCGGUGAAAUGCGCAGAUAUCAGGAAGAACACCAGCGGCGAAGGCGGUGGUCUGGGCCAAUACUGACGCUGAGGAGCGAAAGCGUGGGGAGCGAACAGG
rnacentral:rRNA from 1 species